GCAGAAUUCAGUUUGGCAGCAUUAAUUGGCCACAUGAUAGAAGAGGUUAGUGAGCUGCAGCCUGAAGCAUGAGCACUUCUGUGUAGCUAACCUUACAGGAAGUCAGCACAUGUUCUGAGAGAGCAAGCGGGCGAGGGACAGACUAUAAGCCACAAUGCUGCAGCUGAGCUGCUCUCCUUGCUGAAGGUCUCCCAGUGGUCGGAUUUCACCAUGGUCCUCUCUACACACAUGGGCAGAUGUGCUGGGAUAUUCGUCGUUGCUUUUAUAUGUGACGUGGCUGGAUUGAUCAUCCUCCUCUUGGGGAUUUUUGCCGAUCUGGACUAUUGGGACUUCUUUAUUUACUCAGGAGCACUGCUGCUGGCCUUCAGCCUGGUCUUCUGGAUAUUCUGGUAUUCGUUCAACAUCGAGGUCCCCUUUAAGGAACUAGGCUUUUAACUAACCUACAACUGCGGGAAAGCACAAACGGUACCUAUGGGCUAGAGAAGCAACAUUUCAGCAGCUGAGAAAUAUCUGAAAGCUUUACUCAACUGCAGAAGAGCAUUAAACCCCUCACAGUGAAGGGGCCUGUUAUUUCCCACGCUGCCAUCCACCUGGCAAACCUUCCAGCGGAAAGUGCCCGUGGAAAGCAGCCAUGCUGUUCCCCAUGCCCAUGGAACAAGGGCAAUUUGGAAGCUGCAACAAGAGGCCCAAAGAUCAGAAAUGUAGGUUACCAAGAAAACGAAGAAGGAGAUAAGUGAGGAACAUGUACUCGUCUGCUCUUCAAGGGGGCAUUCGUCUGAUAAUGAAUCCCUAAAAAUGCAACAAAGAGUCAUGUGGAUCCAUGCUGUGCACUUCACAACCUCUCUGAACCUGAGCAUUCAACCAACGUGAACUAUGUUUGCACAUCCUCCACACUGAACAGCACGUGCUAGGCACAUUGCGUGGAAGUCUUUCCUCCAGCAUUGC